UACGUAGGGUGCAAGCGUUAAUCGGAAUUACUGGGCGUAAAGCGUGCGCAGGCGGCUUUGCAAGACAGAUGUGAAAUCCCCGGGCUUAACCUGGGAACUGCAUUCGGGACUGCAUUGCUAGAGUAUGGGAGAGGGAAGUGGAAUUUCAGGUGUAGCGGUGAAAUGCGUAGAUAUCUGAAGGAACAUCAGUGGCGAAAGCGACUUCCUGGACCAAUACUGACGCUCAUGUGCGAAAGCGUGGGGAGCAAACAGG
rnacentral:rRNA from 1 species